ACUUGAUAUAUAUAUAUAAGUCAGAACAUUCAAAUAGGAUAAGUCAGGAUACGAAUAGGUUUUUCUUGGUUGUGCAAUUUAAAGAUCCUACGACGAGGCAAACCGGAAUAUAUACACAGUUGAUUGGCACGCCUUAUUUACAGGAGGCAUUCAGAGCGAUUGCCGUGGCAGCCAGCGCCAUCUAGAGCAAUCCGAAGGUGUUCUCACCGCUGUAGGUCAUGUAGAGGAAGCCAUCCUCGUCCUUGUUCUCCUCGUAAAUGGCAGACAUCAGGGCAGCUGCAAACAAAGGACGAAUAGGAACUUUGGGUUAGAACAUCGGACCAUGCGGUAAAAUACACAAGGUAGACAUAUUUGCUGCUCCCUACCUGUCGGUGGAAGAGUGUUCUUCACAAAGAUGAAGAUCGCCUUCUCAGCACUGAGCUUGAUCCGCUUCCGGACAACGUACACGAACUGUCCAACUGUAAGGUCGGCAGGGACAAGGUACCUGUAUGGUUGGGUGACGGCUAUUAGAAUAUAGAACAGCUGACGGUCAAUAAUGGCCAAUCUUGUGCUUUGCUGUGACAUGAGACAAAGUUUUGAUGCAUCAAAAGAUCCCCUGCUUUUGAACCAUAGAGAUG
rnacentral:lncRNA from 1 species